GUUGAGGCUCAGUGGUAAAGCACUUGCCUGGCACGUAUAAGGCACUGGGUUCGAUCCCCAGUAACA
rnacentral:tRNA from 1 species